AUGGAAUACUCCUACCCAAUCCUCAUCUCAUUCCUGCGCAAUCUUACUGAUGAGCAGUGGCAAGUGAUCUACAAAGGACUAAAAAACCCUAUGACGAAGGAACAGCUUGCCAAAUUGUGCAAGACAAUUGUAACCUUCAUCGCACAGACCACCCUGCAGAUCCUGCUGCCAGCCCUGGCCCGCGUACUUGGGGUAAAGGACUUUGCUGACGACGACACUGACUCACCCAAGAGGGGUGGUAGUGCAAGAUCCUUUGCUGCCUUUGACAAGGAAAGACUGGAGCUCAUCCAGGAAGUUAGAUAUCUGGCGAAGAAAAUGUACAAGGGCGGCACAGGGGCUCAACAUCUCAGGUCCCUAACACCCUCUUCUAAGAGGUAUGUUCCCCUCAAGGUUUUCAUGUAUGGAUUUCACCAAGAUCAUCUAUCCAGUGUUAGCCAAUGCAAUUUACUCUAUCUGAUGUAGUACAAAAUGUAAUGUAUCAGCCUUUGAGCAUAUUCAAAUUAAUGAGCAUGUAAAGCGAUCAAAAGGACAUGUAGAUAUUUAGAAUACUAAAAUUACAACGCUUGACCGAUUUGCCAAGUUAAGACAGGAAUUAUCAUGCUUUGCUUGUUCGUUUUAAAGUUCCCAGACCU
rnacentral:lncRNA from 1 species